rnacentral:rRNA from 1 species
CCUGAGUACGACGGAGCACGUGAAAUUCCGUCGGAAUCUGGGAGGACCAUCUCCUAAGGCUAAAUACUCUCUAGUGACCGAUAGUGAACCAGUACCGUGAGGGAAAGGUGAAAAGUACCCCGGAAGGGGAGUGAAAGAGAACUUGAAACCGUGUGCUUACAAGUAGUCAGAGCCCGUUAAUGGGUGAUGGCGUGCCUUUUGUAGAAUGAACCGGCGAGUUACGAUCUGAUGCAAGGUUAAGCAGAAAAUGUGGAGCCGUAGCGAAAGCGAGUCUGAAUAGGGCGAAUGAGUAUUUGGUCGUAGACCCGAAACCAGGUGAUCUACCCUUGGUCAGGUUGAAGUUCAGGUAACACUGAAUGGAGGACCGAACCGACUUACGUUGAAAAGUGAGCGGAUGAACUGAGGGUAGCGGAGAAAUUCCAAUCGAACUUGGAGAUAGCUGGUUCUCUCCGAAAUAGCUUUAGGGCUAGCCUCAAGUGAUGAUUAUUGGAGGUAGA